UAAAAAUUUACCAAAAGUAAUUGGGAGAGUUAAAAAUGUAAUAGACACAUGCAAAUAAACUAUUAUUAUUGUUGUUUUAUUGUUAUUAUAUUUUCAUCACAGUGUCUUAAAUAUAACAUGUUAAAUAUAAAUUUUAAGAAUACCAUUAAUAAUAAAAUACAUCAAGACUUUUAUCGGUUUAAUUCAUACAAGUCAGUUUGGAAUGUUUGAUCCUGACUAAAAAAGUAGCGAGGUAAUCUCGCGAGAUUACAGCCUCCCCAUAUAGAGAUUACACGAGACUGGAGAGUUUAACGGCUGUCUGCGUGAUCAUCGAGAAAGUGCAUUGAGAGCCCUUCAAAUUAAAAAUAGUGAUGGUGAUCUUGUCAAUGCUGAGAUUUUAAUGCAUCAACAGCCAUUACAUCUGGCUGGAUCAGGAUUGAACAAGAAUCAGACAGCAAGGGUUGUCACAUCAGAAACGUAAUAACACAAACAUAAGAAACUUCACAGGGCUGUGACAGUGACAGUAUUUUACCACCGCGAUGGUAAUGCACCAAUUCACCACUGUGGUGCGGUGGUUAUAGAAUGUGUUUGUGUGAGGGGGGAGGCGGCAAUUUCUUUUUCCGCCGGUGGGUGCUCAUCACAACCUCAAGCUUUACUUCGCAAUGCCAGGUGCUCUAGAGUCUGGAGCGCUCAAAGGCUUUGAAGAGGUGGAAAGUGGCGCAGUCACGUUUUCGUGUGAAUUGUGAAGUUAAAGGCAGAUCACCGUGCAACUUGGUGAAGUCAUGUGUCUUUCCAGAUGGCCAAAUCUGUACCCCUCAAAAAAACUUUAUUAAAUGCCAUGAUAGACAAGAUGAGCCUUAAGAGGAGAUUUGGGAAGAUGCUGUUUCAUAAGUCUUUGCUUUGCCAGAUUAUUUGUGGUUGGGGUGUCUGCCAACGUGAUGCCUUGCUGGUCUGGAUUGAGUUUGAAGUCUCUCACAGACAGUCCAGAAGGUCUGGAGUCCAUCUUAGCUUUCAUUGAUGCUGUCAUAAUUUUUUAAGUGCAUGAGCCAGAAUGGACGGGUGGUGGUGGCCAUAAGAAGACUGUCAACUAAACUAGGGUGACCAUACGUGCCAUUCUUCCCGGACCCGUCCUGUCCAGUCUUUUGGAACUCGUAUUUGUCGACCGCAUACGUCACAGAGGAUUAUUAUUAUUAUUACAGAAAAGCAACCGUUACAUUUUAAGGUAAGAAGAAUGAAACUACGAUUGUAUAUCUUAUGUUUUUAACUGAAUGGCGUAUGCGGUCAACAAAUACGACUUCCGGAAGACGCACCGAAAUCCUGGACGGGAUGCGUCCGGGAAGAAUGGCACGUAUGGUCACCCUAACUAAACC